rnacentral:piRNA from 5 species
AAUUGGAACGAUACAGAGAAGAU